CUGAAGGGUCAGCCACGCCGAUGUCACCUCGCCAAGCUAUCGCGUGUUGUCACCUUCUAUCGUCCACUGACGCACCAACCCACCAGCCCCAACACCGGUCGAUCACCAGCGAGAGACCCCAAGAAGGCCGAGGCGAGGGUUCCCGCAUGGGGCGAGAGGUCCAAAGACGACACCCCGGUAGGGGUGGCGCCCGCGGGCGUCACCGCUGUCCGCCCGCAAGCGAGCAUGGCUUUCGCCAGAGGACCUCCCACCACACGCCUCAACGCACAGAGCCAGCAGGCCCUGCCCACACCACAGGCUGAAACGAGAGGCGGAGAGAUAAAUCUAGCCGAAGAGGCUCAAGAUCCGACCCCCAGCCCCAUGACCAUGACCCACCACCUGCAGAAGGCACCGCUGGCAGCCGCAGAUCCACCAACGACCAACGCCCCGAUCCAGGCACCACGCUACAAGCACAAGUGA
rnacentral:misc_RNA from 1 species